GAUGAACGCUGGCGGCGUGCCUAAUACAUGCAAGUCGAGCGAAUGGAUUAAGAGCUUGCUCUUAUGAAGUUAGCGGCGGACGGGUGAGUAACACGUGGGUAACCUGCCCAUAAGACUGGGAUAACUCCGGGAAACCGGGGCUAAUACCGGAUAACAUUUGAACCGCAUGGUUCGAAAUUGAAAGGCGGCUUCGGCUGUCACUUAUGGAUGGACCCGCGUCGCAUUAGCUAGUUGGUGAGGUAACGGCUCACCAAGGCAACGAUGCGUAGCCGACCUGAGAGGGUGAUCGGCCACACGGGGACUGAGACACGGCCCAGACUCCUACGGGAGGCAGCAGUAGGGAAUCUUCCGCAACGGACGAAAGUCUGACGGAGCAACGCCGCGUGAGUGAUGAAGGCUUUCGGGUCGUAAAACUCUGUUGUUAGGGAAGAACAAGUGCUAGUUGAAUAAGCUGGCACCUUGACGGUACCUAACCAGAAAGCCACGGCUAACUACGUGCCAGCCGCCGCGGUAA
rnacentral:rRNA from 1 species